GAAUUGUCCCAGCAUUAACCACAAUUAAGUACAAGUUUAAUGUGUUGUAUUCCCUCCUUUUAGCAUUGAUGCAUCCAGAGAAGAUGGGUCACUUGGACGAUUAGCGAAUGACGACCACAAAUCACCAAACUGUGUCAUGAAAAAAGUUAGUGUAAAUGACAGAGUACAUUUGUGCCUGUUUGCUCUGAGAAACAUAGAACCAGGAACUGAAAUUGUCUACAACUAUGGGGACUCAAAAUGGCCCUGGCGUAAAAAGGAGAACCUUGAGAAUGCCAACGUUGGGUCAGAUGAACCCAAGCUGUUCCCUGAUCAUGUUACUACUCAGGAGAACCUUGAGAAUGCCACCGUUGGGUCAGAUGAACCCAAGCUGUUCCCUGAUCCUGUUACUACUCAGGAGAACCUUGAGAAUGCCACCGUUGGGUCAGAUGAACCCAAGCUGUUCCCUGAUCCUGUUACUACUCAGGAGAACCUUGAGAAUGCCACCGUUGGGUCAGAUGAACCCAAGCUGUUCCCUGAUCCUGUUACUACUCAGGAGAACCUUGAGAAUGUCAACGUUGGGUCGGAUGAACCCAAGCUGUUCCCUGAUCAUGUUACUACUCAGGAGAACCUUGAGAAUGCCAACGUUGGGUCGGAUGAACCCAAGCUGUUCCCUGAUCAUGUUACUACUCAGGAGAACCUUGAGAAUGCCAACGUUGGGUCAGAUAAACCCAAGCUGUUCCCUGAUCAUGUUACUACUCAGGAGAACCUUGAGAAUACCAACGUUGGGUCAGAUGAACCCAAGCUGUUCCCUGAUCAUGUUACUACUCAGAGACCGUUGACUCACAAGAUUGUCCCCAAGAGAACAGUGAAGGUAUGCUGGAAGGAGAGGAGACAGAAGAUGCAACUUUUUUGUCAGAAGAAGUACAGGGAUCAGAGGAUGAGACUGCAUCAACCCUGCUAGAAGGUACCGCCUCUGUGAACUCCAAAAAGAAGAGAUUGGCAAGAAAGAGAGGAAUAUCAGAAGACGAAGCCACACCUCUCACAACAUCCGGCACAAAGAAAAGCAAGCCAUCAAGAAAGAAAGGUACAAAACCUGCCAUCAGAAGACCAUGGACGCCAGAGGAGUGUGCAGCAAUUAAGAGGCAAUUGAGAAGGUUUUUAAUAAUGAAUAUGACACCGGGUAAGGCAGAUUGUGAAAAAUGCCUUUCCGAAGAACCCGAGGCACUCAAAAACCGAGACUGGAAGGCAGUAAAAUACUUUGUGAAAAACAGAAGUUAUGAACAGAGAAAGAAAUCGAUGUAAGAAAAAAUAGGAAAGGUUUUUUUUCUCAUCUCUUGGAUUUUUGGAUUGAUGCAAAAGUCAGGUUUUAUUACCAUGCAAAAUGGUAGAAAUGUUCACAAUACAGUUCACAAAGGUUCAACCUAUGCCUGCCUUCGGCAUUCAAGCUAUUGUUAAAAAAAUGUUAAGUUGUUGCUGUUUGAUUUCGAUUUUCAUAUUCACGUCAUAAGAACUGAAACUACCGAUGGCAUUAUGGUCUUUUUUUGUCACUGUACCAUAACAAGUAAUACUCAAAGUUGAAUAAAAGUGAG
ensembl:lncRNA